GACGAACGCUGGCGGCGUGCUUAACACAUGCAAGUCGAGCGGUAAGGCCCUUUCGGGGGUACACGAGCGGCGAACGGGUGAGUAACACGUGGGUGACCUGCCCUUAGCUCUGGGAUAAGCCUGGGAAACUGGGUCUAAUACCGGAUAUGACUCCAUGACGCAUGUUGUGGGGUGGAAAGCCUUGUGCGGCUAGGGAUGGGCCCGCGGCCUAUCAGCUUGUUGGUGGGGUGAUGGCCACCAAGGCGACGACGGGUAGCCGGCCUGAGAGGGCGACCGGCCACACUGGGACUGAGACACGGCCCAGACUCCUACGGGAGGCAGCAGUGGGGAAUCUUGCGCAAUGCGCGAAAGCGUGACGCAGCAACGCCGCGUGGGGGAAGAC
rnacentral:rRNA from 1 species